GANGGGGGCUAUCAUGCAGUCGAACGCGUCUCCGUUNAUGAUUUUAGGUGCUUGCACUUGAAAGAUUUAACAUUGAGACGAGUGGCGAACUGGUGAGUAACACGUGGGUAACCUGCCCUUGAAGUAGGGGAUAACACUUGGAAACAGGUGCUAAUACCGUAUAACAACCAAAACCACCUGGUUUUGGUUUAAAAGACGGCUUCGGCUGUCACUUUAGGAUGGACCCGCGGCGUAUUAGCUUGUUGGUAAGGUAACGGCCUACCAAGGCGAUGAUACGUAGCCGACCUGAGAGGGUAAUCGGCCACAUUGGGACUGAGACACGGCCCAAACUCCUACGGGAGGGCAGCAGUAAA
rnacentral:rRNA from 2 species